GUGGGGAAUAUUGGACAAUGGGCGAAAGCCUGAUCCAGCCACGCCGCGUGUGUGAUGAAGGUCUUCGGAUCGUAAAGCACUGUGGAGAGGGACGAAAUGCAGCGGGAACAAUACCCCGCUGUGAUGACGGUACCUCUUUAGCAAGCACCGGCUAACUCCGUGCCAGCAGCCGCGGUAAUACGGAGGGUGCAAACGUUGCUCGGAAUCAUUGGGCGUAAAGCGCGUGUAGGCGGCCAAGCAAGUCGAGUGUGAAAGCCCUGGGCUUAACCCAGGAAGUGCGCUCGAAACUGCUUGGCUGGAGUACGGGAGAGGGUAACGGAAUUCCCGGUGUAGAGGUGAAAUUCGUAGAUAUCGGGAGGAACACCAGUGGCGAAGGCGGUUACCUGGACCGAUACUGACGCUGAGACGCGAAAGCGUGGGUAGCAAACAGGAUUAGAUACCCGAGUAGUCC
rnacentral:rRNA from 1 species